AGGAGAUCAAGACCAUCCUGGCUAACACGGUGAAACCCCCGUCUCUACUAAAAAUACAAAAAAAUUAGCCGGGCGUGGUGGCUGGCGCCUGUAGUCCCAGCUACUCGGGAGGCUGAGGCAGGAGAAUGGCGUGAACCCGGGAGGAGGAGCUUGCAGUGAGCCAAGAUCGCGCCACUGCAGUCCAGCCCGGGCGACAGAGCGAGACUCCGUCUCAAAAAAAAAAAAAAAAAAAGAAUAAAUGGAAGUCAACAAAAACAGGUACAAGAAAUUUCAGUGAAGAAAAAAGGAAUUUUAAAUAAAUUAACAAAAGAAAACUAAUAGAAUAUAUGCUGUAAAGUGUUACACAGUCAUUAAAAUGCAGCUAUAUACUGGCUUUGAAUAUAUUGGCAGCCAAUAAAGAUAAAUUAACCAGUUGAGAUUCAUACAGUCCAAGUUUACCAGAUGCUUAGGAGACGCAAAGCUUUGCCUAGCAUUCUGUCAAGAAAGGUUUUGCUGUCUGUGUGACUAAUCUUACAUGAAUGUUUUCCCAGAAUUGAGUUUUCCAAAGAAAUAUGGGAACAAGGGGCUGGAGUUGUGGGUAUUCUGUUUUGUCAUUCAAAGGCAGAUCUUUCUACAUUACAAAUCAAAGUACAACUGACAACCUCUCGAAAUUGAAGAACCUAAGCACUAGCCCACAACCUCACAUCUGCCUAGAGGAACAACUGGGUAGAAAAGACCAACCAACCAAUCUUUUGCCCUUCAGUCAGCCCUUCUGCCUAUUUUGGGCUUAAAUUUCUAUAAACACUUAGUUCUGCCCUUUCAAAUUGAAGGGUUAUUCUCUUUGGUGAAAAAAUUAGGAGUGGGUUGUUACGACAUGAAAUACAGAGGGCCCUUCCCUUUUUUGUUUUGAAACUUAGCCAUUAUUAUUGUGUGACUUACAAUAUGUAUUUUAAAAUUUAUAUUAUUUUACAGAUCUCACAAAUCUAUGAGGUUGAGAGGGCAGAUAUACUCUAUGGAUGAGAAAACUUAGGCUCUACUCGUUCAGGGUCACACUGGUGACAGCUAAGUCUUUUCAGUUACAGCCUGUGCCCUUUGACAUGUUGCUUUUUUCCUCUCCCCUUAUUGUACAUGCCCUAGUUCCAGGCCUUUGCCAUUCUGGUGUUUGACCAUGGCUCACAAAUCUCUUGCUAAUAUCUAUCCACUCCAGGUAAAAAGUCUGCCUGUCCUAUAUUUUU
rnacentral:lncRNA from 10 species